CAACAUCAAUCUCUGGCCUCCAGACAUACUUAUGCAGAUGUGUAUGCACACACAUGUACACGCUUACAUACAUGGAUAUGUAUGUACACACAAUACACAUACACAUACAUAGAUAUGUAUGGACACACAUACACACUUUCAUACAGAUAUGUACAAACACACAUAUAUUUAUUUACACGCGCACACGCACGCAUACACAUACACAUACACAUACCUGCAUGCAGAAUCCUUUUCACCCUGGCUGCCUCCACUUCAUCUGUCUCCAGGAUGUUUCAGAUUCUUUGCUGACUGGAGUCCCUGUCACCACCCAUUUGUGAGCCGUGAUGCCUGCACCC
rnacentral:lncRNA from 1 species